rnacentral:rRNA from 1 species
UGCGUAGGCGGGCUAAUAAGUCAGUGGUGAAAUCUCUCGGCUCAACCGGGAAACUGCCAUUGAUACUGUUAGUCUUAAGUUCGGUUGAGGUAGGCGGAAUGUGUAAUGUAGCGGUGAAAUGCUUAGAUAUUACACAGAACACCAAUUGCGUAGGCAGCUUACUAGACCGACACUGACGCUGAGGCACGAAAGCGUGGGGAGCGAACAGGAUUAGAUACCCUGGUAGUCC